UAGAGUUUGAUCCUGGCUCAGGAUGAACGCUAGCUAUAGGCUUAACACAUGCAAGUCGAGGGGCAGCGAAUAGAUGGCUUGCUAUUUAUGUCGGCGACCGGCGCACGGGUGAGUAACGCGUAUCCAACCUGCCCAUAACUAAGGGAUAACCCAGCGAAAGUUGGACUAAUACCUUAUGUAUUCGUUUGAUCUCAUGAGAUUACGAAUAAAGAUUUAUCGGUUAUGGAUGGGGAUGCGUCUGAUUAGCUUGUUGGCGGGGUAACGGCCCACCAAGGCAACGAUCAGUAGGGGUUCUGAGAGGAAGGUCCCCCACAUUGGAACUGAGACACGGUCCAAACUCCUACGGGAGGCAGCAGUGAGGAAUAUUGGUCAAUGGACGCAAGUCUGAACCAGCCAAGUAGCGUGCAGGAUGACGGCCCUAUGGGUUGUAAACUGCUUUUAUAUGGGGAUAAAGUGGGGAACGUGUUCCCUUUUGCAGGUACCAUAUGAAUAAGGACCGGCUAAUUCCGUGCCAGCAGCCGCGGUAAUACGGAAGGUUCGGGCGUUAUCCGGAUUUAUUGGGUUUAAAGGGAGCGUAGGCCGUUUGGUAAGCGUGUUGUGAAAUGUAGUAGCUCAACUUCUAGAUUGCAGCGCGAACUGUCAGACUUGAGUGCGCACAACGUAGGCGGAAUUCAUGGUGUAGCGGUGAAAUGCUCAGAUAUCAUGAAGAACUCCGAUUGCGAAGGCAGCUUACGGGAGCGCAACUGACGCUGAAGCUCGAAGGUGCGGGUAUCGAACAGGAUUAGAUACCCUGGUAGUCCGCACAGUAAACGAUGGAUGCCCGCUGUUAGCACCUAGUGUUAGCGGCUAAGCGAAAGCAUUAAGCAUCCCACCUGGGGGAGUACGCCGGCAACGGUGAAACUCAAAGGAAUUGGCGGGGCCCCGCACAAGCGGCGGGUCAUGUGGUUUAAUUCGAUGAUACGCGACGAACCUUGCCCGGGCUUGAAUUGCAGAUGAACGAUUUAGAGAUAAUGAGGUCCUUCGGGACAUCUGUGAAGGUGCUGCAUGGUUGUCGUCAGCUGGUGCCGUGAGGUGUCGGAUUAAGUACCAUAACGAGCGCCCCCCUUUUUUUUAGUCCUCAUCAGGUUUUGGUGCGCUCUGUGGAGAUACCCCCCCUGUAAGGUGUGAGGAAGGUGGGGAUGGUGUCAAAUCAGCGCGCCCCUUAUCUCCGGGGCCACACGCGUGUCACAAUGGGUGGCACAGAUAGUUUGUGUGUAUGCAAAUCCUAUUUUCUCCUUAAACCCAUUUCCAGUUCGGAUUGGGUUUUCCACCCCGCCCCCCCGAAGCUGGAUUCGUUAGUAUUCGGCCAUCACCCAUGGCGCGGUGAAUCGGUUCCGGGCCUUGU
rnacentral:rRNA from 1 species